rnacentral:lncRNA from 1 species
AUGUACACAGGCUUCGCAGAGAAGUUCAGCAAACCCAUUUCCCGCCCCCCGCCCCCCGCCCCCCUCCCUCCCCCGCCGCCCUCGCUCCCCACCCCUCGAACCAUCACCACCUCUGACCCUGAAAGCGCGAGGGAGCGCGCGGGCUCCGGCACCCGCCCCGGCAGACAAUACUCGAGCAACUCCUGCCUUCGCCGCACACGCCUCGCCUGGUCCUGCCACCACUCUCUUCUCCCAGGGUUCCUACAGUCCCCCGGGCCGCAGGCAGGGGCGUCCUGCCGGUUGCUGGGUGUGGAUGGGGAAGAGGGGGGCGAACUGCACACACCACCGAGGCUGCGGGCGGGGGAAGGCGGUCGCAGUCCUCCAAAGCCGCUCGGGUGGUCAGCUCGUCCGAAGCGGGUGGAGGUGGGGGACAGUGAGCCCCGAGGGAGUGACCCCCCCCACCCCCCACCCCCUCACCGGGGGAGGCAGCUUUUCCGCACCUCUUCCCCACCUGGCCCAGCGCGCGCGCACCCAGCGUGCACACCGAGGGGCCGGGCACCUUCCUCCUCCUGUCCCCGGACCUGCCCAGCCUUCGUCCCCGAGCUCAGUGGCCUGGAAGGGACGGCAUCCGGGCCGCGGCGGCCCAGAAGGGACAGAGCGCCGCGCUCGGGGGGUGCCCACCUGCGCGCAGGGUCGCUGCGGCGGCCGGUGCGCCCGCCGGCUGCGCCUUCUCCGCUGCUGGAGGAGGUGGCGGCCGCCCGACCCCUGGCCUCGAAGCGCCGUCUCCUCGCUCCCCGGCGGCGGCGGUCCUCGCUUCCUUCUUCCCUGAGGGUGAGCCUCCCACCUAGCCCGCAGGUUCUGCCACCGUCUCUCUGCCCGCCAGAGCCCGAGCUGUCCUCCCCGCCCCUUUCCCGCCGCCCCGCGCAACGCCGCGCAGCGCUCCGCCCCCCGCCCGCCCAUCCUCGCCCCGGCCCUGCGGGGGGCUGCGGGCCCCGCGCCUCCGGCUGCAGAGCCCCAGUCCCGGUCGAAGGCGGGCGGGAGGGGUUCCGCCUCGACCGCGCGCUCCCACCCUUCUCCGCUCUCCCUCGGCCCGAGGCGGCCGCCCGCACUCACCCCGCGGCCAAGGGCGUGGGCACCGAGGGCUCUGCCCUCGCUCUUCCGGUGUCUCUGCACUCCCCGUAG